GUAGGUGGCAAGCGUUGUCCGGAAUUAUUGGGCGUAAAGCGCGCGCAGGCGGUUCUUUAAGUCUGAUGUGAAAGCCCACGGGCUCAACCGUGAAGGGUCAUUGGAAACUGGAGAACUUGAGUACAGAAGAGGAAAGCGGAAUUCCACGUGUAGCGGUGAAAUGCGUAGAGAUGUGGAGGAACACCAGUGGCGAAGGCGGCUUUCUGGUCUGUAACUGACGCUGAGGCGCGAAAGCGUGGGGAGCAAACAGGAUUAGAUACCCUGGUAGUCCACGCCGUAAACGAUGAGUGCUAAGUGUUAGGGGGUUUCCGCCCCUUAGUGCUGCAGCUAACGCAUUAAGCACUCCGCCUGGGGAGUACGGCCGCAAGGCUG
rnacentral:rRNA from 1 species